rnacentral:lncRNA from 1 species
AAGUUGCACGUAAACUAGCAGCCUAUGCAGCAGCUUGGCAACACUCACCAAAUCUCGAUUCCAGCAGCAACCGCAUUCGGCGUUGGUAACAUUUCAAUUCUAAUUUUUUGUUUAAGAUUAUGUUUUGUUUACGGGAUUAAUUUAUAUUGUAAUUAAAAUUUUCGAUUCAAUUUUGUUUGUUAUUGAUUGUUCUUUUUGUGUUAUUUAAUUUAUGAUACU